AUAUUUAUUUAAAAUAUUUUAGAAAAAAAAAUUUUCUGUUUAGUAAUAUUAUUGAAUUUAUUUUUUAAUUUAGUACUGUGAAGGAAACAAAAAUAUUUUUUUAGAAAAAUUUAAUUUUUGUACCUUUUGUAUCAGGGAAUUACAAUAAUAUUUUAAAUUAAAAUCUCCCGAAAUUAAUCGAGCUAAUUUUAUUUAAAUAAAUGUAACAUAAUGAUUAAAAUUAAAAUUAGUGAUGAAAUGUCAUUCGUGAUUAGUGAUAUCUGGUUCCUUAAAUUAAACUUUAUGUUGUUUAUUUAAAAUAAAACAAAUUAAUUAGGAUAAGCUAAUUAAAUUUUUAUCUAACUUAUAAAUUAUAUAAAAGGAAUAAAAGUUUCUAUUAGUUUUAUAACUAAAUCUAUUAACAUAAAAUUUAAAUAAAAAUUGGAAUUAAAAUAAAUUUUAAAUUUUUUGUAUAAUGUAAUUAUUAGUAGAAUUAUAAUUUUAAUAUAAAAUUAAAAUUUAAUUUAUAUUUAUAUAUUUAAAUUAAAAUAAGGAACUAAAAUUUAGUUAGCCUGUUUACCAAAAACAUGGUUUUUAGUAAUAUUAUUAAAAAUCUGACCUGCCCAAUGCUAACGUUAAUGGCCGCGGUAUUUUAACUGUGCUAAGGUAGCAUAAUCAUUAGUCUUUUAAUUUAGGACUGGAAUGAAUGGUUGGACUGACUUACAUUGUCUCAUUUUAAUAUUUUGAAUUUCAUAUUUUAGUAAAAAAGCUAAAAUUUAUUUUAAAGACGAGAAGACCCUAUCAAGCUUUAUAAUCUAUUUUUAUUUUCAAAAUAAAAUUAAAAUUAUUUGGCUGGGGCAGCAAAUAGAAAAUUUCUAUUUUAUUAUUUUGGUAAAUUAACCUUGUUAAAUCAAAAAAUUUUUAAUAAAGAAUAAGUUACUGUAGGGAUAACAGCAUAAUUUUUUUUAAGAGAUCUUAUCAUCAAAAAAGUUUGUGACCUCGAUGUUGGAUUAAGAUUCCUAAUUUGUGCAAUAGUAAAAUAAGGAAGUCUGUUCGACUUUUAAAUUCUUCCAUGAUCUGAGUUCAAACCGGUGUAAGCCAGGUUGGUUUUUAUCUUAAAAUUUAAAAUCUUAUUUUAGUACGAAAGGACCAAAUAGGAGAAAUAUUUUCAAUUAAUAUUUUAACUUUAAUUCAAUAUAGCAAAAUAAUUAUGCAU
rnacentral:rRNA from 1 species